UAAUAAGCGGAGGAAAAGAAACUAACAAGGAUUCCCCCAGUAACGGCGAGUGAAGCGGGAAUAGCUCAAAUUUGAAAUCUCCGACGCUUGCGUCGGCGAGUUGUAGUUGCGAGAAGCACUUUCUCGGCGGAUCGGGCGUGCCUAAGUUGCUUGGAACAGUACGUCGCAGAGGGUGACAACCCCGUCUGUGGCACGGCCGGCCGCUCACGAUGUGCUUUCGAAGAGUCGGGUUGUUCGGGAAUGCAUCCCAAAACGGGUGGUAAACUCCAUCUAAAGCUAAAUAUUGACGUGAGACCGAUAGCGA
rnacentral:rRNA from 1 species